GCGCUUUUGCCACCGACCAUGCUGCUGAAAAUAAACUCGGGACGACAAACCACCAUCAAUACUUGCCCCUGGAUCCUCCUUUGUUGCAUAGAAGGUUCAUAAAAUGGUCAAGCAAGCAGUGUGUGGACAUAGCUCAUCCAUUGCGCCUUCAAAAUGGGGUUGUUUGUAUUACCAGUGAGCAUGCAGCCGGGUUUGCUUGGCUUGCCUGAACCCUGAACAUGAAACGGAGAUGACCAGGAACUCUUCCGGUCGGAGGAGUCAGGUUCAGAAAGUACGUCUUCUGGCAAGGCCAUCCCAAAUUUCUGACUAAGUGUGAUACGAGUUCGAUCAAGCAUAUUGGUCUGGUCUGAUUAUCAAAUUCCUAUCCCAGCAUGUCUGGAUCUGUCUCCUGAGUGCAGUCAAGGAACUGAAAAUAACCAUCUUGUUUUUAGUUCAGAACAUGUGGUGAAUAAUAAACAGAGACGGAAAAAAAGCAGGUCUACCUGUUGAAGAUUUCAGAUUUCUGAUAUGGCAGCACAAUAGUAGGUAGGCUUCUCCGACAUGGCGGCAUAAAUCUCCAGUUUGUUUUCUGAAAUCCCAGCAACU
rnacentral:lncRNA from 1 species